rnacentral:rRNA from 1 species
GAAGUAAAAGUCGUAACAAGGACGGUCCGUAGGUGAACCUGCGGAGGGAUCAUUACACAAUAUGAAAGCGGGCUGGCAUCCCUUCGGGGAUACAGACCUUGCUGAAUUAUUCACCCGUGUCUUUUGCGUACUUCUUGUUUCCUUGGUGGGUUCGCCCACCAUAGGACAAACCAUAAACCUUUUGUAAUUGCAAUCAGCGUCAGUAAAAAAAUUAAUAAUUACAACUUUUAACAACGGAUCUCUUGGUUCUGGCAUCGAUGAAGAACGCAGCGAAAUGCGAUAAGUAGUGUGAAUUGCAGAAUUCAGUGAAUCAUCGAAUCUUUGAACGCACAUUGCGCCCUUUGGUAUUCCAAAGGGCAUGCCUGUUCGAGCGUCAUUUGUACCCUCAAGCUUUGCUUGGUGUUGGGCGUCUUGUCUCCAGUUCGCUGGAGACUCGCCUUAAAGUAAUUGGCAGCCGGCCUACUGGUUUCGGAGCGCAGCACAAGUCGCGCUCUCUUCCAGCCAAGGUCAGCAUCCACAAAGCCUUUUUUCAACUUUUGACCUCGGAUCAGGUAGGGAUACCCGCUGAACUUAAGCAUAUCAAUAAGCGGAGGA